GGCUUAGAGUUUGAUCAUGGCUCAGGAUGAACGCUGGCGGCGUGCCUAACACAUGCAAGUCGAACGAAGCAGUUUUGGUGAAGUUUUCGGAUGGAACCGGAAUUGACUGAGUGGCGGACGGGUGAGUAACGCGUGGGUAACCUGCCUCACACAGGGGGAUAACAGUUAGAAAUGACUGCUAAUACCGCAUAAGCGCACGGGACCGCAUGGUCCAGUGUGAAAAGCUUUUACGGUGUGAGAUGGACCCGCGUCUGAUUAGGUAGUUGGUGAGGUAACGGCCCACCAAGCCGACGAUCAGUAGCCGACCUGAGAGGGUGACCGGCCACAUUGGGACUGAGACACGGCCCAAACUCCUACGGGAGGCAGCAGUGGGGGAUAUUGCACAAUGGGGGAAACCCUGAUGCAGCGACGCCGCGUGAGUGAAGAAGUAUUUCGGUAUGUAAAGCUCUAUCAGCAGGGACGAAAAUGACGGUACCUGAGUAAGAAGCCCCGGCUAACUACGUGCCAGCAGCCGCGGUAAUACGUAGGGGGCAAGCGUUAUCCGGAUUUACUGGGUGUAAAGGGAGCGUAGACGGCGAAGCAAGUCUGAAGUGAAAGCCCGGGGCUCAACCGCGGGACUGCUUUGGAAACUGUUUUGCUGGAGUGCUGGAGAGGCAGAUGGAAUUAAGCC
rnacentral:rRNA from 1 species